UACGAAGGGGGCUAGCGUUGCUCGGAAUCACUGGGCGUAAAGGGCGCGUAGGCGGAUGUUUAAGUCGGGGGUGAAAGCCCAGGGCUCAACCCUGGAAUUGCCUUCGAUACUGGACAUCUUGAGUGCGGGAGAGGUGAGUGGAACUCCGAGUGUAGAGGUGAAAUUCGUAGAUAUUCGGAAGAACACCAGUGGCGAAGGCGACUCACUGGCCCGUUACUGACGCUGAUGCGCGAAAGCGUGGGGAGCAAACAGG
rnacentral:rRNA from 1 species